ACCUAGCAAGAGCAAUUUGAAAUGGAAAAUUCAAGCUCAGAAAUCCAGUUGAAAUUUGACCUUCUCUACAUUGCCAUGGAUUUUGGUGGCCUGGGGGAGCUGGUGAAAUGGGCACAAUCAUCUAUUAAGGCUUUGUCUGGUCCUAGUGUCAUUCACUUCUCAUCUAAAAUCAAGGUCAUUGAUGUUCAUUUCCAAAGGAGAUAACAGAGAGGUUACAGAGAAUGAUUGCUCCUGUUUGGCUUUAAAAGAUAGCAGUCUUCAAUUAACACUGGAUUUAAGGGAAAUUUUGUGAAGCCUAGCCUGCAGGAGGCCAUGACUUGGGUGAAGAAUCCAUGGAAUAAAAUCACUGACAGCUGUGUUGCCAAUGCACUACAAGCAGAUUACGUGGACAAGAAGGGCUCAUUUAAGGAGAGCUCUAUUGCUGUACAUGAGAACUGGGAGACAAUAGUUCUAUAGGAAAUGGAGUUGCAAAAAAUUUAGGCCAUAAUUCAAGGUAUGUAGAGUUAUGAUGAUGUUCCAGAGGGAGAUGA